UCAGGUCACAGCCUCUUCCGCCAUCAGAUCGCAGCCUCUUCCUUCUGCACGUCGCCACCUCCUGCUGCUGCAGGCCGUGCCCCAUCCCCCAUUCUCGCGUGGUCGCCAACAAGGAGGUGACCGAUUGUUGAUCCUGAAGUUUCAUCACAUGAUUUUUUGUCUCUGAAUUUUGCACCAAUUCUUGAUCCUGAAGCAUCAAUGCUUGAGCACUGAUUUUUGUGUGUUAGUUCAAAUUUUGCGUCAAG